UACGUAGGGCGCAAGCGUUAUCCGGAAUUAUUGGGCGUAAAGAGCUCGUAGGCGGUUUGUCGCGUCUGCCGUGAAAGUCCGGGGCUCAACUCCGGAUCUGCGGUGGGUACGGGCAGACUAGAGUGUUGCAGGGGAGACUGGAAUUCCUGGUGUAGCGGUGGAAUGCGCAGAUAUCAGGAGGAACACCGGUGGCGAAGGCGGGUCUCUGGGCAGUAACUGACGCUGAGGAGCGAAAGCGUGGGGAGCGAACAGG
rnacentral:rRNA from 1 species